CAUUGCUUCAAUUUGAUUGGAUGACCUACUUGGUCAGAUGAAGCCUUUCAUUCACCAUUAAAGAACUCAUCUGAAC